AUGAGGCGGGAAGUUGUCGGUCAGAGCAAGAAGAAAUCAAACGACAAUGAAGAUAAGGAUAAGAUCACCGUCCUAGAGGAGAAGAUGAUGAAGGGGCCUAGACAAUCAUCCUCAUCCGACCAAAGAGAACAAAAUGUCUUACCUCCUCUAAAUCUCCGGAACAACCUCGGAACCACUCCCAAUGAAAAAACCUCCAUAAUUCAUAGCAACAGUAAAGAAAUCCCUUUCUUCAUCACCUACAUGGACAUUGCAAAUUCAGACGGGCAGAUAAUGUGUAAAAUUCAGUUAUUUUCAAAGAUCGUUUUGCAUUGCAAAAUUGCAAAAAUCAAUUAG
rnacentral:rRNA from 1 species